rnacentral:rRNA from 1 species
AGGAUGAACGCUGGCGGCGUGCCUAAUACAUGCAAGUCGAGCGGUAAGGCCCCUUCGGGGGUACACGAGCGGCGGACGGCUGAGUAACGCGUGGGAACGUACCCCAAAGUGAGGGAUAAGCACCAGAAAUGGUGUCUAAUACCGCAUGUGCUCUAAGGAGUAAAGCUUCGGCGCUUUGGGAACGGCCUGCGUCCGAUUAGCUUGUUGGUGAGGUAAUGGCUUACCAAGGCGAUGAUCGGUAGCUGGUCUGAGAGGAUGAUCAGCCAGACUGGGACUGAGAACGGCCCAGACUCCUACGGGAGGCAGCAGUAGGGAAUUUUCCACAAUGGGCGAAAGCCUGAUGGAGCAACGCCGCGUGCAGGAUGAAGGCCUUCGGGUUGUAAACUGCUUUUAUGUACGACGAUUAUGACGGUAGUACAUGAAUAAGGAUCGGCUAACUCCGCGCCAGCAGCCGC